UACGGAGGAUGCAAGCGUUAUCCGGAAUGAUUGGGCGUAAAGCGUCCGCAGGUGGCUAUGUAAGUCUGCUGUUAAAGAGUGAGGCUCAACCUCAUAAGAGCAGUGGAAACUACAUAGCUAGAGUGCGUUCGGGGCAGAGGGAAUUCCUGGUGUAGCGGUGAAAUGCGUAGAGAUCAGGAAGAACACCGGUGGCGAAGGCGCUCUGCUAGGCCGCAACUGACACUGAGGGACGAAAGCUAGGGGAGCGAAUGGG
rnacentral:rRNA from 1 species